CAACUUACCUAGCAGGGUACCACGAGCACGAAGGAGGUUCCCCCAGGCAAGGCUCGGCCAUUGAUGACCCCUGCAAAUUUCACAAACGUAGGAAUCUCGACUGCAUAAUUAGUGGUAGUGGCGCACUGCGUCCACAACCUCCCC
rnacentral:snRNA from 8 species